rnacentral:rRNA from 1 species
CUACCUUUAACUGGGGCAUAGCUCGAGGAAACUCGAAUUAAUUCCCCAUAGUACAUCAUAAUAUCUCAUGAUAUAAAUGUUAAAGAUUUAUCGGUUAAAGAUGGGCAUGCGUCUGAUUAGUUUGUUGGUAAGGUAACGGCUUACCAAGACUACGAUCAGUAGGGGGUCUGAGAGGAUGAUCCCCCACACUGGUACUGAGACACGGACCAGACAUCUACGGAUGGCAGCAGUAAGGAAUAUUGGGCAAUGGGCGCAAGCCUGACCCAGCCAUGCCGCGUGCAGGAUGACGACCCUAUGGGUUGUAAACUGCUUUUAUAUAGGAGAGAAAUACUCUUGCGAGAGGAUCUGACGG